AGAUUGAACGCUAGCGGGAUGCUUUACACAUGCAAGUCGAACGGCAGCGCGGACUUCGGUCUGGCGGCGAGUGGCGAACGGGUGAGUAAUAUAUCGGAACGUGCCCAGUAGCGGGGGAUAACUACGCGAAAGCGUGGCUAAUACCGCAUACGCCCUACGGGGGAAAGGGGGGGAUUCUUCGGAACCUCUCACUAUUGGAGCGGCCGAUAUCAGAUUAGCUAGUUGGUGAGGUAAAGGCUCACCAAGGCGACGAUCUGUAGCUGGUUUGAGAGGACGACCAGCCACACUGGGACUGAGACACGGCCCAGACUCCUACGGGAGGCAGCAGUGGGGAAUUUGGACAAGUGGGGGAAACCCUGAUCCAGCCAUCCCGCGUGUGCGAUGAAGGCCUUCGGGUUGUAAGCUACGUUUUGGCGAGGAAGAAACGGCGUGCCCGUAAGUACGGGACGUCACGUGACGGUACCUG
rnacentral:rRNA from 1 species